rnacentral:rRNA from 1 species
CACGUAGGGGACGAGCGUUGUCCGGAUUCAUUGGGCGUAAAGCGCGCGUAGGCGGCUCGGAAAGUCGGUCGUGAAAUGCCGGGGCUCAACCCCGGGACUGCGUCCGAUACUCUCGAGCUGGAGGCAGGUAGGGGAGAUCGGAAUUCCUGGUGUAGCGGUGAAAUGCGCAGAUAUCAGGAGGAACACCGGUGGCGAAGGCGGGAUCCUGGGCCAGUACUGACGCUGAGGAGCGAAAGCGUGGGGAGCAAACAGG